rnacentral:rRNA from 1 species
GUAGUCCACGCCGUAAACGAUGGGCACUAGGUGCUUGGGGGAGCGACCCCUUGAGUGCCGUCGCUAACGCAUUAAGUGCCCCGCCUGGGGAGUACGGCCGCAAGGCUGAAACUCAAAGGAAUUGACGGGGGCCCGCACAAGCGGUGGAGCAUGUGGUUUAAUUCGACGCAACGCGAAGAACCUUACCUAGGCUUGACAUGGCCGAGCAACCUCUUGGAAACAGGAGGCCUCCUUCGGGACUCGGUCACAGGUGCUGCAUGGCUGUCGUCAGCUCGUGUCGUGAGAUGUUGGGUUAAGUCCGCAACGAGCGCAACCCCUGUCUCCACGUUGCCAGCGCGUCAUGGCGGGGA